UACGUAGGGCGCAAGCGUUGUCCGGAAUUAUUGGGCGUAAAGAGCUCGUAGGCGGCUUGUCACGUCGGGUGUGAAAGCCCGGGGCUUAACCUCGGGUCUGCAUUCGAUACGGGCUAGCUAGAGUGUGGUAGGGGGAGAUCGGAAUUCCUGGUGUAGCGGUGAAAUGCGCAGAUAUCAGGAGGAACACCGGUGGCGAAGGCGGAUCUCUGGGCCUACUGACUCUGAGGAGCGAAAGCUGGGGAGCAAACAGGAUUAGAACC
rnacentral:rRNA from 1 species